rnacentral:rRNA from 1 species
AGUGAACGCUGGCGGUAGGCCUAACACAUGCAAGUCGAACGGCAGCACAGGAGAGCUUGCUCUCUGGGUGGCGAGUGGCGGACGGGUGAGGAAUACAUCGGAAUCUACUCUGUCGUGGGGGAUAACGUAGGGAAACUUACGCUAAUACCGCAUACGACCUACGGGUGAAAGCAGGGGAUCUUCGGACCUUGCGCGAUUGAAUGAGCCGAUGUCGGAUUAGCUAGUUGGCGGGGUAAAGGCCCACCAAGGCGACGAUCCGUAGCUGGUCUGAGAGGAUGAUAAGCCACACUGGAACUGAGACACGGUCCAGAAUCCUACGGGAGGCAGCAGUGGGGAAUAUUGGACAAUGGGCGCAAGCCUGAUCCAGCCAUACCGCGUGGGUGAAGAAGGCCUUCGGGUUGUAAAGCCCUUUUGUUGGGAAAGAAAUCCAGCCGGCUAAUACCUGGUUGGGAUGACGGUACCCAAAGAAUAAGCACCGGCUAACUUCGUGCCAGCCGCCGCGGUAAUAC